rnacentral:rRNA from 1 species
UGGGCCGCUAUCAUGCAGUCGACGACUCUGGUAUUGAUUGGUGCUUGCAUCAUGAUUUACAUUUGAGUGAGUGGCGAACUGGUGAGUAACACGUGGGAAACCUGCCCAGAAGCGGGGGAUAACACCUGGAAACAGAUGCUAAUACCGCAUAACAACUUGGACCGCAUGGUCCGAGCUUGAAAGAUGGCUUCGGCUAUCACUUUUGGAUGGUCCCGCGGCGUAUUAGCUAGAUGGUGGGGUAACGGCUCACCAUGGCAAUGAUACGUAGCCGACCUGAGAGGGUAAUCGGCCACAUUGGGACUGAGACACGGCCCAAACUCCUACGGGAGGCAGCAGUAGGGAAUCUUCCACAAUGGACGAAAGUCUGAUGGAGCAACGCCGCGUGAGUGAAGAAGGGUUUCGGCUCGUAAAACUCUGUUGUUAAAGAAGAACAUAUCUGAGAGUAACUGUUCAGGUAUUGACGGUAUUUAACCAGAAAGCCACGGCUAACUACGUGCCAGCAGCCGCGGUAAUACGUAGGUGGCAAGCGUUGUCCGGAUUUAUUGGGCGUAAAGCGAGCGCAGGCGGUUUUUUAAGUCUGAUGUGAAAGCCUUCGGCUCAACCGAAGAAGUGCAUCGGAAACUGGGAAACUUGAGUGCAGAAGAGGACAGUGGAACUCCAUGUGUAGCGGUGAAAUGCGUAGAUAUAUGGAAGAACACCAGUGGCGAAGGCGGCUGUCUGGUCUGUAACUGACGCUGAGGCUCGAAAGUAUGGGUAGCAAACAGGAUUAGAUACCCUGGUAGUCCAUACCGUAAACGAUGAAUGCUAAGUGUUGGAGGGUUUCCGCCCUUCAGUGCUGCAGCUAACGCAUUAAGCAUUCCGCCUGGGGAGUACGGCCGCAAGGCUGAAACUCA